UACGGGGGGGGCAAGCGUUGUUCGGAAUUACUGGGCGUAAAGGGCUCGUAGGCGGCCAACUAAGUCCGACGUGAAAUCCCAAGGCUUAACCUUGGAACUGCGUCGGAUACUGGAUGGCUUGAAUUCGGGAGAGGGAUGCAGAAUUCCAGGUGUAGCGGUGAAAUGCGUAGAUAUCUGGAGGAACACCGGUGGCGAAGGCGGCAUCCUGGACCGACAUUGACGCUGAGGCGCGAAAGCCAGGGGAGCAAACGGG
rnacentral:rRNA from 1 species